UUAUAUCUUGGAGUUCCUCUGGAUGCUUCAUGUGAGGGGCUAGCUAGUCUAAUAUCUAUUACUCAAUGAAAAGGAUAGCCCUUCUUCAAUGAAGUGUUUGGGGGAACUCUUAGGUUCAA
rnacentral:pre_miRNA from 1 species